AUAGCAACAAAAAAUGCAUCAUGAUAGAUUAUGGAUGGUAAUGACGUCACCUCAAAUUAACUAUUAAAAUAAAAAGGUGGACUAUAAACGGAGUAUUUAGUGAGUCAGAUAGGUUCAGGGUGCAGUAAUUUAUCAACAUCACUUCUGGUGAAUUACAAAACAUGAAUUCAUGGCAUAAAAUCAGUUUUUAAAAUUGUCCUUGCUUUAAUUUUGAACAAUCAAAUAUUAGUUUAAUUUUAGUGUUGCGACCAUAAAACAUUGCGGAUUUGGAUCAUUAGUUCUCCUUUUAGAAUGGAUAGUAAUUUGUUUCUUCUGCUGAAGAUCAUAAUAAGAGACCAACUGACCUCCUUUUUUUUAAAUUUGCUGAGUCUGGCUCACCAUAAGACCCUUGCUCUUUAAAAGGGAAAAAUCAGACACUAGCCAGAAAAACAUGUAAGCAAUAUGAUUACAAAUGGUACCUAAAGAAAAUAUAAAGCUGUGCAUUUUCAGGAAGUUAAUAUAUACAAUUCAAGCAUAGAUGUUACACAGAAAAAUUGACUGUACAAGAGUUUUUGCUUUAUUAAAAUGUGAAGACCUGACAGUCUGAAUCUGCGACUUCUCCACAUAAAUACUGACUUCUCUGCUGUUUUAGGCUUUCUAGGUGACUUUUACUCAUGUCUCGCUGCUCCAUCCACAAACUCAAGUCAGUGAAGAUGAUGAGGAAGAUAUCUGACUGAUUCACUAAGCUGCACUGAUAGCUGUGGUGGAGCGUUUAACACAAGGCAUCAGAAGACAACAAGAAUGCAGCCGUUUCAAUGCCCCACCCCCUCCAUCAAGGAUGCUACAGCACAGCAGUAUGGCAGUGUGGUUCUGUCCAAAUUCACUCAGUACUCCGUAAUCUUCAAAAGGCUUCACACUAAAAACUAAAUAUUUUUGAAAACAUAAAUAAGAAGCUUGUUUGAUUAAAACCCAGCUCCAAGUUCUUUUUUUUUAUGCAGUGUUAAUUUAGCUGAGGUUAAAAAAAAGAAAACAAUCAUAAAAAA